GCUAUUGACCGUCACCGAUUUAUUGAACAUCGGUAUGCCACGUAUGCGAAGUACGCUCACUUAUUUUGAACGGUUACUUCUUAUGCUUCUGCGCGAAAUUGAUGAGGAUUUAUAUGGAGGCUAAAAGUAUAAGUUUCUGAUUGUACUCGUGUACAGAUUCAAAUGUUUAAAAAACUGAUAAAAUUGCAUUAUAUCGCAAUGCAUUACAUCAAGUCUAAUUUAUAGGAUACAGAAUCAUAAAGAAGUUUUACAUUUCGCUAUGCCUUUAAGUUACGAUUUGUAAGAGAACGCUUCAAUAGGAAUUUACAGAAGGCAAU